rnacentral:rRNA from 1 species
AGAACGAACGCUGGCGGCAGGCCUCAAACAUGCAAGUCUAGGGGGUGUAGCAAUACAUCACCGGCGGACGGGUGCGUAACACGUGGGAAUAUACCUUUUGGCUCGGAACAACGCAGGGAAACUUGCGCUAAUACCGAAUGUGCCCUUACGGGGAAAGAUUUAUCGCCAAAGGAUUAGCCCGCGUAGGAUUAGCUAGUUGGUGAGGUAAUGGCUCACCAAGGCUCCGAUCCUUAGCUGUUCUGAGAGGAAGAUCAGCCACACUGGGACUGAGACACGGCCCAGACUCCUACGGGAGGCAGCAGUUGGGAAUCUUGGACAAUGGGGGAAACCCUGAUCCAGCCAUGCCGCGUGAGUGAUGAAGGCCUUCGGGUUGUAAAACUCUUUCGACGGGGACGAUAAUGACGGUACCCGUAGAAGAGCUCCGGCUAACUUCGUGCCAGCAGCCGC